UACAGAGGGGGCAAGCGUUGUUCGGAAUUACUGGGCGUAAAGGGCGCGUAGGCGGCCUUCUAAGUCGAACGUGAAAUCCCCGGGCUCAACCCGGGAACUGCGUCCGAUACUGGAAGGCUUGAAUCCGGGAGAGGGAUGUGGAAUUCCAGGUGUAGCGGUGAAAUGCGUAGAUAUCGGGAGGAACACCAGUGGCGAAGGCGACUACCUGGCCUGUUUCUUGACGCUGAGGCGCGAAAGCUAGGGAGCAAACGGG
rnacentral:rRNA from 1 species